rnacentral:lncRNA from 10 species
CAAGCUGCAGAUCAUAGAUCCUGAUGCCCACUUGCCUCAUAAUACAGAUUCAGAUGGAAGCAGAAAACUGUGGUCUUUCCAGAAAUACUCAUGCCAACAGGAGUACGGGAAAGAUAUCAGAAAAGCUUUCCAGGGUCUGUGUGGUGGCUCAUGUCUAUAAUCCCAGCACUUUGGGAGGCUGAGGUGGGUGGAUCCCUUGAAUCCAGGAGUUCAAGACCAGCCUGACCAACGUGGUGAAACUCCAUCUCUACAAAAACUGCAAAAAUUAGCCAGAUGUGGUGGCACAGGCCUGUAGUACCAGCUACUCAGGAGGCUAACCCUGGAGAAGUCUAGGCUGCCGUGAGGUCCCUGCACUCCAGGCUGAAUGACAGAGCCAGAUCCUGUCUUAAACAAAACAAAACAAAAGCUUUCCGUUGAAACUGUUUAUAGCUAGUAUGAAACUAACAAAAUAUCAUUUACUAGAUUAUAUAUUUUCAUAGCAGCAAUUUUAAAAACAGGUUAAAUUUCACCACUAUUUCUUCCUUUCUUCCUGGAAUUAGGCAUUGUUUUGAUAAUCUUGGUCAACUGAAAAUAUUCUCUCUAUAACUAUAAAGUUGGUGUGAAAGUUUUUUAGGAAAAAAUGCUUUUCUAUUUUAAACUGAAUCACAACACAUAUGUAUAGACCUCAGUUUUUGGAAGAAGAGCUAUUUUUAAAUAGUGUAUAAAAUGGCAUUUAAAAUAAGCCAUUUCAUCAGAGUUGCCUCCCUUGCCUAACUAACUAUUCUGAAACUAAUCAAAUGAUUCAAUUAUUCAGUCCAAAUAAACACAUGUUAGUACCUAAGUGUUAGUUUCUGCAUGGGACACAAAGAGAUGCUGCUCCCACAGAGAUCUCCAUCUGCAGAAAGGGUUAGAUAAGGG